rnacentral:rRNA from 1 species
CCUACGGGGGGCAGCAGUGGGGAAUAUUGCACAAUGGGCGCAAGCCUGAUGCAGCCAUGCCGCGUGUGUGAAGAAGGCCUUCGGGUUGUAAAGCACUUUCAGCGGGGAGGAAGGCGUUAAGGUUAAUAACCUUGGCGAUUGACGUUACCCGCAGAAGAAGCACCGGCUAACUCCGUGCCAGCAGCCGCGGUAAUACGGAGGGUGCAAGCGUUAAUCGGAAUUACUGGGCGUAAAGCGCACGCAGGCGGUCUGUCAAGUCGGAUGUGAAAUCCCCGGGCUCAACCUGGGAACUGCAUUCGAAACUGGCAGGCUAGAGUCUUGUAGAGGGGGGUAGAAUUCCAGGUGUAGCGGUGAAAUGCGUAGAGAUCUGGGGGAAUACCGGUGGCGAAGGCGGCCCCCUGGACAAAGACUGACGCUCAGGUGCGAAAGCGUGGGGAGCAAACAGGAUUAGAUACCCGUGUAGUC